UUAUGGUCAGAACUGAUCUGCAUGAUUUUGUUCAACUCUGAAUUAGAAAAUGGAGAAACUACUAUGAAUGCAGUAGAGGACAAUCAGAAUUUUGAAAUGACAGGAGAAUGUGCCAUAUAAUAUUUUAUUGAUGGAUUGGGGAUGUUUAGCUCUGGAGAAACUUGUGGUGCUUGAGAUGGGGUAUGAAUCAUAACAUCCUCCCAAAAGGCAAUGAAUCCUGAUUCUGACACAAGCUAUGUAUCUGCAAACAAGUGACAACUUCUGAGCCUUAGUUUCUUAACAUAUAAAAUAGGGAUAGCAUUUUCUAUACAGAGUCAAAGAACUGAGAGAGCCACGAAGCAACAACCAAAUAAGGCUGCAGCUGAAGCCAUAAUCACCACCGCAACCACACUCCCAGUAAAGAUGACCAAGAAUAUCAGGCUGGGUCCAACCAGAGCCAGUUGCCCAGGAAAAUCAGGGAACCACAAUUGAUUCCCUUUCUUCUGCCAUCCCUGGAGGCCAUUCCGAUAUUCUGUUGUAACAAGAGUACAAAAACAAGACUCCAUCACAUAACGUGUGUGUGCAUAUGUAACUGUGUGUGAGAGACAAAGAGAGAAAGACAAAUAGAGACAGAGAUUCAGAGAAAGACAAACAGAAACUGUAGCAGGACCUUUCUGAGAUAAAAGUUGUUGCCUGUGUAACCAUUUGAGGACUUUUGAAGAUAUUUGAGGAUUCAGAAGAAUCUCCCUGAUUGAAAAUCUCUCUUCUAACAGCUUGACAAACUCCUGCCAUUUCACCAUAUCAAUUCAUUUUCACUUGUGCCAUUAAUUUCACAGUAUUAAAGUAUUGGGUCUUUAAAAAUAUUAAUAUUCCCUAGAAAGGUUACUCUUUAUCAUAGGCAGCUGUAGGAAAUUUUUUUCUAUUACCUCCUUCCUCCUGGACCCUCCCCAACAAAAAGAUAUCAUUCAUGAAUAAGUCAAAAGUAAAAAUUGAGAAGGGGUAGCUGAUGUAGAGCAGGACUUCUUAAACUUUUUCUACUUGAGACCUUUUCUUGCCUGAGAAAUUUUUACAUGACCCCAAGUAUAUAGGUAUAUAAAAUAGGUAUACAAAUAAAACAAUUAUUGAUAAUGAAUUAUAAUAGAAAUUUAUUUUAAAAUGAUUUUUGGUACACAUAUAAUUUUCCCACUUAUUAAAGACAAAAGAAAUUUGCAUACUAAUGU